GGGCGCAGCUGGGGCGGCCGGGGGGGGCGCGGGACCGAGACCUGUCCCGCACAGACCCCGCACAGACCCCGCACAGACCCCGCACAGACCCCGCACAGACCCCGCACAGACCCGCAGCGCCGUCCUGAAUGAAGGGCUGGCGGGGACAAUGACCCCUCGUUUCUAGGGUAAGUGGAGAGAAGUCAGAAAAGGCAUGAGAUGAGAAGACAACAGAUGAAAGGGAAAUGCUCAGAGAGAUGGAGCUCCCAGGGAAAUGGAGGAGCUGGCUUACUUCAAGAGAAGUUCAAGAAUGAACACAACUGGUUUGCUGUCAGUUUUUAGUACUGGCUGCAGCUCAUGGGCAAUAAUGGCACCAGCAGUGGUGAAGCAGCAUUGUAUAGCAAACAAGUAGACCUCAGUGACCCUCAACAACAGGAUAACAACACUUGGAUUUCCAAGGGACUUCUACCCACACUGAAGGAGGGAAUUGCUUUUUUUCCCUUCUUCAUUAUUCUGCAACAUUGCUCUGCUUAUCUUGAAAUACUCUAAAUAAAUACCCACUUCUGACACAGCUAGCUAAAUAAGGACAGACAGUUGCUAAAUCUCUGUCAUAAUUACAGCAGGCACCUGUUCAUGGCCACUAAAACCGAUGUUGCUAACACGUUUCCACAAUAACUUCAUGCUCAAAAUUUUCCAACCAACUAUCUUUUGGGAAGAAAUUUUCCACAUUUGGCCUCUGCUUGAGAGGACUUUUUUUUUUCUUCGAGGCUUGAGAAAAAUGAUGCCAGCUGUUCUUGAGCACAGCAUGAAUUAUAAAGUUAUGCCUCUGAAGUAAAAAGAACUUCCCAGGCUGCACCAAGCUGAAAUAUAAAGCUUGCUCUAGACCCUUCUGAAGAGCAAACUUUUUCUUAGUGUUAUACUAGAUGUUGAU